rnacentral:misc_RNA from 1 species
AAGAAAUUUAAUAAUUUUGAAAAUGGAUUUUUUUGUUUUGGCAAGAGCAUGAGAGCUUUUACUGGGCAAGAAGACAAGAGAUGGAGAGUCCAGCCGGGCCUGCGCUUAAGUGCGCGGUCUUGCUAGGCUCGUAAGUUUCUUUCUUGCUAUUCCAAACGGGGAAAAAAUUUCUGUGCUUUUGUUAUAGGACAAUUAAAACCGUUUCAAUACAACACACUGGUGGAGUUUUCAUAUCUUUGCAACUUUUUCUUUGGGCAUUCGAGCAAUCGGGGCCCAGAGGUAACAAACACAAACAAUUUUAUUUAUUCAUUAAAUUUUUGUCAAAAACAAGAAUUUUUCGUAACUGGAAAUUUUA